ACGCACGUUAUGGUGGGGCACUCUAAGGAGACGUGCCGGUGACAAACCGGAGGAAGGUGGGGAUGACGUCAAGUCAUCAUGGCCCUUACGGCCUGGGCUACACACGUGCUACAAUGGUCGGUACAAAGGGUUGCCAAGCCGCGAGGUGGAGCUAAUCCCAUAAAACCGAUCGUAGUCCGGAUCGCAGUCUGCAACUCGACUGCGUGAAGUCGGAAUCGCUAGUAAUCGUGGAUCAGAAUGUCACGGUGAAUACGUUCCCGGGCCUU
rnacentral:rRNA from 1 species